GCAGUCGAGCGGGAUUCUAAUUUUUCAUUCUUCGGAAGAGAAGUUUUAGAUGAGAGCGGCGAACGGGUUAGUAAUAAAUGGGUAAUUUGCCUCUUUGUUCGGAAUAGCCACCGGAAACGGUGAUUAAUGCCGGAUGUGUUCGGGAACUGCAUAGUUCCCUAUGUAAAGGCGGGGAUUCUUCGGAACCUGUCGCAAAGAGAUAAGCCCAUUUCCUAUCAGCUUGUUGGUGAGGUAAUGGCUCACCAAGGCUUACGGGUAGUUGGUCUGAGAGGAUGAUCAGCAACACUGGGACUGAGACACUGCCCAGACUCCUACGGGAGGCUGCAGUCGAGAAUCAUUGUCAAUGCACGAAAGUGUGAACAUGCGACGCCGCGUGGAGGAAGACGGCCUUUGGGUUGUAAACUCCUGUCAGCAGGGAGUAAGGAUGGUCUAUUUAAUACGUAUGCCAUUUGAUAGUACCUGCAGAGGAAGUCACGGCUAACUCUGUGCCAGCAGCCGCGGUAAUACAGAGGUGGCGAACGUUGUUCGGAUUUACUGGGCGUAAAGGGUCCGCAGGCGGUCCGGUGUGUCAGAUGUGAAAGCCCACAGCUUAACUGUGGAAUUGCAUUUGAAACUGCCGGACUAGAGUACUGGGGGGGAGAAGGGAACACUUGGUGUAGCGGUGAAAUGCGUAGAUAUCAAGUGGAACACCGGUGGCGAAGGCGCUUCUCUGGACAGAUACUGACGCUCAUGGACGAAAGUUAGGGUAGCGAAAGGGAUUAGAUACCCCUGUAGUCCUAACCGUAAACG
rnacentral:rRNA from 1 species